GACGAACGCUGGCGGCGUGCCUAAUACAUGCCAGUUGAGCGCUGAAGGUUGGUACUUGUACCAACUGGAUGAGCAGCGAACGGGUGAGUAACGCGUGGGGAAUCUGCCUUUGAGCGGGGGACAACAUUUGGAAACGAAUGCUAAUACCGCAUAAAAACUUUAAACACAAGAUUUAAGUUUGAAAGAUGCAAUUGCAUCACUCAAAGAUGAUCCCGCGUUGUAUUAGCUAGUUGGUGAGGUAAAGGCUCACCAAGGCGAUGAUACAUAGCCGACCUGAGAGGGUGAUCGGCCACAUUGGGACUGAGACACGGCCCAAACUCCUACGGGAGGCAGCAGUAGGGAAUCUUCGGCAAUGGACGAAAGUCUGACCGAGCAACGCCGCGUGAGUGAAGAAGGUUUUCGGAUCGUAAAACUCUGUUGGUAGAGAAGAACGUUGGUGAGAGUGGAAAGCUCAUCAAGUGACGGUAACUACCCAGAAAGGGACGGCUAACUACGUG
rnacentral:rRNA from 1 species